CACCUAGAAGAGUGACAGGAGGAGGAUGAAACCUGUGGGAUCCUGUUUCCUCACAGGAACUUGCUGCUUCCCUGAGGCCUCAGAAUUGGAAUAGUGGCUUCUAGUCCUUUCUCUGGAGACCCUGGAUAUAGCAGAGGCCCCACAGUCACGCUUUGCCUUCUCAGUUCAAUUUCCUUUUCCUUGUGUGUGUCUCUUCUUCAACUGGACCUACAGCUUCUUGGGGCGGGGACUGAGACCCUACGUCUGCAAUCAGGGACUCCUACAGCCGGGAGGCAUUUGGGUCUCUUCCCAGCGCAGGCAACGCAUACUAAUAAGCCCAGGGAAGAAGAGUCAGACCCAGUGCCAGCGCAGGGGAAACGCAUCUAAUCCAGAACAGCAGACACAGCUCCUCUCCCAUGGAACACCCAGAGCAGACAUUGCCAGUCGAUCCCAGCACCCUUUCCCCGGGAGCCUGGGCUCAGCCUCAAGACUUUGCUUCCGCUUCACAAAGCUCUGCACAGCCAGUUCUCAUCAAUUGGAGUUGGUCCAAAAUAUGGAAACUCUUUGCUCUGCCUGACCCAAACCAUUCCUCUUUCCCAUAACAAUUCUGACAUUUAAAAACAGCAGAAUUCCCCAACACUCAUCCCCGGGAAAAGAAAUUUGGCAUUGUUGGUACUUUCAACUCCUGACCCUGGUCAGCUGUUGAGUCAACUUGUGGUUGAGUCUGAGCCCCAUUUCUGCAGACAGAAAGACCGCAUUUGCGUUUCUGAGUCUCAGGUUUAGGAUGAAUUUUGUAUAGUCACUGUAACAAAUUACUGCAAACGUAGUGGCUUAAAAUAAAACAAAUCCAUUAGCUUACAAUUCCAGAGAUUAAAAGUCCAAAAUGAAUCUUUAAAAAAUUUUUAAUUUAGUUUUAUUUUUUAAUUUUCCUUUUUUUUGAGACAGAGUCUCACUCUGUCGCCCAGGCUGGAGUGCAGUGGCACGAUCUUGGCUCACUGCAACCUCCACCUCCCGGGUUCAAGGGAUUCUAG
rnacentral:lncRNA from 1 species